CUUCUGGCCACUAGUGGCAGCAGUGCGGCCAUUCACGGCAGCAUACUGGAACUGAUGAUGAUACACCUCCUGCCUCCCACACUAACCACAAAGCAGUCAGCCUUAUUCUGUGACUCCUUCCAGCCUAUAAAAUCGCCCCGUGUGCUUCCCUCCCCCAUUGCUUGUCACCGUCCAGUCCCCUGGGGCGUCUGUCUGGGAUCUGCCAGGCUCAUCAGUGAGGAGAGGAGAAGGCUAACUGGGAGCCCUUACUGGCUGUAAAUCCAGAGAGGGUGGAGAACUUGCAGCGGCCACACGUCCACUGCAGCCCAGUAAGUCCAGCAGCCACCUCUCCUCCCCCCAGCCCCCAGUACACUUAAGACACUUACAAUCCGUCUGCAUGUGCAAAUGCAUUCACACAAGUACUCAACAAGGGUUUGUUCUCCUACUGUUCAAAGUUAACCUAACUUAAUCCUGUUGCAACCUGACCCAAGGAAUGGGAUUUUAGACACCAGGUAUUUUGAUGCAGACAUUCUGUAUCUUUAUAUAAAGGUUGAG